rnacentral:rRNA from 2 species
GAUGAUUUUGGAUCCGACUGAGUGGCGAACUGGUGAGUAACACGUGGGUAACCUGCCCAGAAGAAGGGGAUAACACCUGGAAACAGAUGCUAAUACCGUAUAACAACAAGAACCACAUGGUUCUUGUUUGAAAGCUGGCCUUUGUGCUAGUGCUUCUGGAUGGACCCGCGGCGUAUUAGCUAGUUGGUGAGAUAAUAGCUCACCAAGGCAAUGAUACGUAGCAGACCUGAGAGGGUAAUCUGCCACAAUGGGACUGAGACACGGCCCAUACUCCUACGGGAGGCAGCAGUAGGGAAUCUUCCACAAUGGACGAAAGUCUGAUGGAGCAACGCCGCGUGAGUGAAGAAGGGUUUCGGCUCGUAAAACUCUGUUGUUAGAGAAGAACAGCCGUGAGAGCAACUGCUCACGGUAUGACGGUAUCUAACCAGAAAGUCACGGCUAACUACGUGCCAGCAGCCGCGGUAAUACGUAGGUGGCAAACGUUGUCCGGAUUUAUUGGGCGUAAAGGGAGCGCAGGCGGUUUAUUAAGUCUGAUGUGAAAGCCUUCGGCUUAACCGGAGAAGUGCAUCGGAAACUGAUAAACUUGAGUGCAGAAAAGGAUAGUGGAACUUCAUGUGUAGCGGUGAAAUGCGUAGAUAUAUGAAGGAACACCAGUGGCGAAGGCGGCUAUCUGGUCUGUAACUGACGCUGAGGCUCGAAAGCAUGGGUAGCAAACAGGAUUAGAUACCCUGGUAGUCCAUGCCGUAACGAUGAAUGCUAGGUGUUGGAAGGUUUCCGCCUUUCAGUGCCGCAGCUAACGCAUUAAGCAUUCCGCCUGGGGAGUACGACCGCAAGGUUGAACUCAAGGGAUUGACGGGGACCCGCACAAGCGGUGGAGCAUGUGGUUUAAUUCGAUGCUACGCGAGAACCUUACAGGACUUGACAUCUUCUGCCAU